GGGGGCGUACUGGUUUCGACGGGGACAUGGGGGCAGGAGUAGCGGGCGGAUGCGCCUGACAUCCAUAAAAACGGGCAACUUAUAAAUCAAAGAACGACGAUAACGUAGUUCUCGCCGCUGCUUGAUAGCGGCCGUCCUACCCGGAAGGACCACGAGCCGGGCUUGGGCGUGACUGAGUGGUGCACGUGACCGGGCCAAGCUUUGCCCCCGGCAUGACAAGAUGAAGCUACCAAGUCAUGGAGCGUGACGCUCCGCGCCAUGGUGAGGGAAUGCAAAGGAACGUCUGCGCCCGGAGAGGCUCCUGAGGAAGUGUUUUCGGACGGGGGUUCGACUCCCCCCGCCUCCACCA
rnacentral:sRNA from 1 species